rnacentral:tRNA from 1 species
GUGGUUGUGGCUCAGUGGUGGAGCGCUUGCCUAGCAUGUGUGAGGCACAGGGUUCGAUCCUCAGCACCACA